rnacentral:rRNA from 1 species
UUAAGUGACUAAGCGUACAAGGUGGAUGCCUUGGCAAUCAGAGGCGAGGAAGGACGUGCUAAUCUGCGAAAAGCUUGGAUGAGUCGAUAAGAGGCGUUUAAUCCAAGAUGUCCGAAUGGGGAAACCCAGUAGAUGAAGAAUCUACUAUCACUUACUGAAUCCAUAGGUAAGUGAGGCAAACCGGGAGAACUGAAACAUCUAAGUACCCCGAGGAAAAGAAAUCAACCGAGAUUUCGUUAGUAGCGGCGAGCGAACGCGAAGGAGCCUGUUAGUGAUAAUGACAGAGACAGAGGAACAAGCUGGGAAGCUUGGCGAUACAGGGUGAUAGCCCCGUACUCGAAGUCCAGGUCAUGGUACUAAGCUAACGACAAGUAGGGCGGGACACGUGAUAUCCUGUUUGAAGAUGGGGGGACCAUCCUCCAAGGCUAAAUACUCCUGAUUGACCGAUAGUGAACCAGUACUGUGAAGGAAAGGCGAAAAGAACCCCGGUGAGGGGAGUGAAAUAGAACCUGAAACCUUGUACGUACAAGCAGUGGGAGCCCUUUUGGGGUGACUGCGUACCUUUUGUAUAAUGGGUCAGCGACUUAUAUUUUGUAGCGAGGUUAACCGAAUAGGGGAGCCGAAGGGAAACCGAGUCUUAACUGGGCGUCUAGUUGCAAGGUAUAGACCCGAAACCCGGUGAUCUAGCCAUGGGCAGGUUGAAGGUUGGGUAACACUAACUGGAGGACCGAACCGACUAAUGUUGAAAAAUUAGCGGAUGACUUGUGGCUGGGGGUGAAAGGCCAAUCAAACCGGGAGAUAGCUGGUUCUCCCCGAAAUCUAUUUAGGUAGAGCCUUGAGCGGACACCUUCGGGGGUAGAGCACUGUUUCGGCUAGGGGUCCAUCCCGGAUUACCAACCCGAUGCAAACUACGAAUACCGAAGAGUGAUACUCAGGAGACACACGGCGGGUGCUAACGUCCGUCGUGGAGAGGGAAACAACCCAGACCGCCAGCUAAGGUCCCAAAGUCUAUAUUAAGUGGGAAACGAAGUGGGAAGGCUUAGACAGCUAGGAUGUUGGCUUAGAAGCAGCCAUCAUUUAAAGAAAGCGUAAUAGCUCACUAGUCGAGUCGGCCUGCGCGGAAGAUGUAACGGGGCUCAAAUAUAGCACCGAAGCUGCGGCAUCAGACGAAAGUCUGUUGGGUAGGGGAGCGUUCUGUAAGCGGAUGAAGGUGAAUCGAGAGGUUUGCUGGACGUAUCAGAAGUGCGAAUGCUGACAUAAGUAACGAUAAAACGGGUGAAAAACCCGUUCGCCGGAAGACCAAGGGUUCCUGUCCAACGUUAAUCGGGGCAGGGUGAGUCGGCCCCUAAGGCGAGGCUGAAAAGCGUAGUCGAUGGGAAACGGGUUAAUAUUCCCGUACUUGGAUAAACUGCGAUGUGGGGACGGAGCAGGUUAGGUUAUCGCACUGUUGGAUAUGUGCGUUUAAGUUGGUAGGUGUGAAGUUUAGGCAAAUCCGGACUUCUUUAACACCGAGAGAUGAUGACGAGGCUCUACGGAGCUGAAGUAACCGAUACCACACUUCCAGGAAAAGCCACUAAGCUUCAGGUUUAUCUAAACCGUACUGAAAACCGACACAGGUGGUCAGGUAGAGAAUACUCAGGCGCUUGAGAGAACUCGGGUGAAGGAACUAGGCAAAAUAGCACCGUAACUUCGGGAGAAGGUGCGCCGGCGUAGAUUGUAGUCCCUUGCGGAUGAAGGUUGAACCGGUCGAAGAUACCAGCUGGCUGCAACUGUUUAUUAAAAACACAGCACUCUGCAAACACGAAAGUGGACGUAUAGGGUGUGAUGCCUGCCCGGUGCUGGAAGGUUAAUUGAUGGUGUAAUCGAAAGAGAAGCUCCUGAUCGAAGCCCCAGUAAACGGCGGCCGUAACUAUAACGGUCCUAAGGUAGCGAAAUUCCUUGUCGGGUAAGUUCCGAC